CCUGGGGAGUACGGCCGCAAGGCUAAAACUCAAAGGAAUUGACGGGGGCCCGCACAAGCGGCGGAGCAUGCGGAUUAAUUCGAUGCAACGCGAAGAACCUUACCAAGGCUUGACAUAUACCGGAAACGGCCAGAGAUGGUCGCCCCGCAAGGUCGGUAUACAGGUGGUGCAUGGUUGUCGUCAGCUCGUGUCGUGAGAUGUUGGGUUAAGUCCCGCAACGAGCGCAACCCUCGUCCUAUGUUGCCAGCACGUAAUGGUGGGAACUCAUGGGAUACUGCCGGGGUCAACUCGGAGGAAGGUGGGGAUGAGGUCAAAUCAUCAUGCCCCUUAUGUCUUGGGCUUCACGCAUGCUACAAUGGCCGGUACAAUGGGCUGCGAUACCGCAAGGUGGAGCGAAUCCCAAAAAGCCGGUCUCAGUUCGGAUUGAGGUCUGCAACUCGACCUCAUGAAGUCGGAGUCGCUAGUAAUCGCAGAUCAGCAACGCUGCGGUGAAUACGUUCCCGGGCCUUGUACACACCGCCCGUCAAGUCAUGAAAGUCGGUAACACCCGAAGCCA
rnacentral:rRNA from 1 species